UACGUAGGGGGCAAGCGUUGUCCGGAAUCAUUGGGCGUAAAGCGCGUGUAGGCGGCCUUGUAAGUCCGUUCUGAAAGCCCGGGGCUCAACCCCGGGAGGCGGAUGGAUACUGCAGGGCUCGAGUACGGAAGAGGCGAGUGGAAUUCCCGGUGUAGCGGUGAAAUGCGCAGAUAUCGGGAGGAACACCAAUGGCGAAGGCAGCUCGCUGGGACGUACUGACGCUGAGACGCGAAAGCGUGGGGAGCAAACAGGG
rnacentral:rRNA from 1 species